UGAGGAAUAUUGCACAAUGGGCGCAAGCCUGAUGCAGCGACGCCGCGUGUGGGAUGAAGGGGCUACGCCUCGUAAACCACUGUAGCCCGGGACGAAAAACGCCUUAGAGGCGUUAGACGGUACCGGGAAAGUAAGGGUCGGCUAACUACGUGCCAGCAGCCGCGGUAAUACGUAGGACCCAAGCGCUGUCCGGAUUUACUGGGUGUCAAGGGUGCGCAGGCGGAUGGGUAAGUCAGGGGUGAAAGUCUGCAGCUCAACUCCAGCACUGCCUUUGAUACUGAGGAUGUGGAGUUCGGGGGAGGUGAGUGGAACUGAGAGUGUAGAGGUGAAAUUCGUAGAUAUUCGCAAGAACACCAGUGGCGAAGGCGGCUCACUGGCCCGAUACUGACGCUGAGGCACGAAAGCGUGGGGAGCAAACA
rnacentral:rRNA from 1 species